AUGGUAAUGAUCGAUGUGCUCGCCCCUUUUCAAAGAGGAAAAUACACAGGUGUCGGCUUCGGGAGGCUCCACCUGGCCCGGUCAGGAGGCCUCCUCCGGCUUAUGAAUGAACUCUUUUUCUCCCGGGAAGCUUCGAUUCUCUGCUACCUUCGCGAGCGCUGGCUCCCCUCCUCCCCUCCCCUCCCCCACCAGUGCUCAGGCAGCCAGGAGCCUGCUGGCGGCGGCGGGGCUUUGUCAUCGGAACGCACACACAGACACGCACACGCGCGCACCCGGCCACCACGGGACCGCGGCGGCCGCUGCGCCUUGUCCUUCCUCGCUGCGCUCCCCUCCCCGCCCCCUCUUUUUAAGAGCUGCUCCAGAUCCUUUCUUCUGUCUUUUAUGUGUGCGGUCCUUUUAAUCCAGGAGCUCGGGAAGCGGUUUAGGGGGCCUCCCGCGGGGCGCAGGACGGCAGGGCUCAGGUCGCGCGCGGAGAGGACGCGUGGGCAGCUGGGCUUUGUUCUGCCCCUUGCCGGGGUCCCGGGGCGGAAAAGCCUCUGCGGCGCUGGGGCCCACCGGUGCAUCGGCGGGCUAACACCAGCACCUCCCCACCCCCCACCAAAACUGGAACGUGAAAUCCUCUCCGGAGGUCACUCCGCACUUGGUCCGGGUGGGGCGCAUCGCCCUGGGGAGGGUCUCCUGGUCCACAAGUGGCUCUCCCCCUACAGACAAAUGUGCAGCGUCAUUAUGGUGGCUCCUGUUGCUCGAGGCCCCUGGGGUGCUCCCUGGGCCGGACGAGAGAAGGGCCCAGGGGCUGGGGCUCCCCGGGGAGCUGCCCGGAGGAGACGCCGCGUCGGUCCCUCCGGCCUCUGCCGGCUGCCUUCCCGGACCGCGAGCACAGAGCCAGGGCGGCCUCUCGCCUUUCAUUACCGGGCCUACGAAAGCAGCAGCCCAGGCAAAUAUGUAGCUAUUAAAAUUAAUCGCCCUGCGUUGUCAGCUGAACAUAAUGCAAAUUAUUUAUGGGCUGUCUGCGCAAUAUUUAUCAUCGUGCAGGCUCCAGGCGCUUCGUGCCUCCCGGCCUCCCCCGCCCGCCCCGGCCCACUCAGGGCGAAGCUGCGAGCAGGCUGCAGCGGCCAGGGGGCUCUGGGCACCCAAAUGGGGUUCCAAGGGCGAGGCCGCGCACUAGCCUGCCUUACGUUACAGGUUGAGAGCCUCACUUUGGUGUCUGGCACGCAUUCCACAUUUGUUGGAGGCCUACUACGUGCAAAAUUAGGAGGUCUGCGAAAUUAG
rnacentral:lncRNA from 1 species